UGGGGAAUAUUGGACAAUGGGCGAAAGCCUGAUCCAGCCAUGCCGCGUGUGUGAAGAAGGUCUUCGGAUUGUAAAGCACUUUAAGUUGGGAGGAAGGGCAUUAACCUAAUACGUUAGUGUUUUGACGUUACCGACAGAAUAAGCACCGGCUAACUCUGUGCCAGCAGCCGCGGUAAUACAGAGGGUGCAAGCGUUAAUCGGAAUUACUGGGCGUAAAGCGCGCGUAGGUGGUUUGUUAAGUUGGAUGUGAAAUCCCCGGGCUCAACCUGGGAACUGCAUUCAAAACUGACUGACUAGAGUAUGGUAGAGGGUGGUGGAAUUUCCUGUGUAGCGGUGAAAUGCGUAGAUAUAGGAAGGAACACCAGGGGCGAAGGCGACCACCUGGACUAAUACUGACACUGAGGUGCGAAAGCGGGGGGAGCAAACA
rnacentral:rRNA from 1 species